rnacentral:rRNA from 1 species
GACGAACGCUGGCGGCGUGCCUAAUACAUGCAAGUCGAGCGGACAGAAGGGAGCUUGCUCCCGGAUGUUAGCGGCGGACGGGUGAGUAACACGUGGGUAACCUGCCUGUAAGACUGGGAUAACUCCGGGAAACCGGAGCUAAUACCGGAUAGUUCCUUGAACCGCAUGGUUCAAGGAUGAAAGACGGUUUCGGCUGUCACUUACAGAUGGACCCGCGGCGCAUUAGCUAGUUGGUGAGGUAACGGCUCACCAAGGCGACGAUGCGUAGCCGACCUGAGAGGGUGAUCGGCCACACUGGGACUGAGACACGGCCCAGACUCCUACGGGAGGCAGCAGUAGGGAAUCUUCCGCAAUGGACGAAAGUCUGACGGAGCAACGCCGCGUGAGUGAUGAAGGUUUUCGGAUCGUAAAGCUCUGUUGUUAGGGAA